rnacentral:rRNA from 1 species
UACGUAGGGCGCAAGCGUUAUCCGGAAUUAUUGGGCGUAAAGAGCUCGUAGGCGGUUUGUCGCGUCUGCCGUGAAAGUCCGGGGCUCAACUCCGGAUCUGCGGUGGGUACGGGCAGACUAGAGUGUGGUAGGGGGAGCGGGAAUUCCUGGUGUAGCGGUGAAAUGCGCAGAUAUCAGGAGGAACACCAGUGGCGAAGGCGCCGCUCUGGGCCGUGACUGACGCUGAGGAGCGAAAGCGUGGGUAGCAAACAGG